GACGAACGCUGGCGGCGUGCCUAAUACAUGCAAGUCGAGCGGACAGAUGGGAGCUUGCUCCCGGAAGUCAGCGGCGGACGGGUGAGUAACACGUGGCAACCUGCCUGUAAGACUGGGAUAACUUCGGGAAACCGGAGCUAAUACCGGAUACGUUCUUUUCUCGCAUGAGAGAAGAUGGAAAGAUGGUUUCGGCUAUCACUUACAGAUGGGCCCGCGGCGCAUUAGCUAGUUGGUGAGGUAAUGGCUCACCAAGGCAACGAUGCGUAGCCGACCUGAGAGGGUGAUCGGCCACACUGGGACUGAGACACGGCCCAGACUCCUACGGGAGGCAGCAGUAGGGAAUCUUCCGCAAUGGACGAAAGUCUGACGGAGCAACGCCGCGUGAACGAUGAAGGCCUUCGGGUCGUAAAGUUCUGUUGUUAGGGAAGAACAAGUACCAGAGUAACUGCUGGUACCUUGACGGUACCUAACCAGAAAGCCACGGCUAACUACGUGCCAGCAGCCGCCGUAA
rnacentral:rRNA from 1 species